GUGACGAGAGCGCCGCUUUGAGGCUGCGCGCCAUCUUGGUUGAGGACUCGGGAGGCCGAGGAGGUGGCGGAGUGCCAGAGUUUUACCCCGCAGGAGGGUCCGAGGGCCCAGGAGUGCUGCGACAUUCUGCCCCUCCCUCUGAACUCACCCCUGUUCCUAGUCUAACAGCCUGUUCCCUAAAUUGGCCUUAGUCUCAGCCUUGUAGUUGUCAAUGCCCUGAGACAGCAAGACCUACCCUUCCUCUUCUUUCUCAUCAGCCUGCUCAACAUAAUGAGACACCUAAUGAACAAGUACACCUGAACGACAGGAGUCAUCUGAACAACAGGAAGGCAUAAGCAUUUCUGCAUGGACGGAAGGCCAGGCUUCUGUAGGCACACAGGAUGGCAGCAGAAGCAGCACAAUACAGGGCAGAGCAAAGUCGCUAAGUGCUUAUGGUUCGAGAGGCUGGUUUCAACAUGCAAUGCAUUUUGUUAAUGAUUUUUUAGCAUAAUAAAUGCCUUUCUAACAGUUCAGUGCAAGUGUCACCAUCCUUCCUGAAAUAACA